CCCUACGGGGCGCAGCAGGUGCGAAAACUUUACACUGCGCGAGAGCGCGAUAAGGGGACCUCGAGUGCGUGCGCAAUGCGUACGCUUUUCAGAUGCCUAAAAAGCAUCUGGAAUAAGGGCCGGGCAAGACCGGUGCCAGCCGCCGCGGUAACACCGGCGGCUCAAGUGGUGGCCGCUAUUAUUGGGCUUAAAGGGUCCGUAGCCGGACCAGUUAGUCCCUUGGGAAAUCUUACGGCUUAACCGUAAGGCUGCCAAUGGAUACUGCUGGUCUUGGGACCGGGAGAGGCAAGAGGUACCUUAGGGGUAGGAGUGAAAUCCUGUAAUCC
rnacentral:rRNA from 1 species